CAUCACUACGCUAGAUGCAUAUCAAUAAGCGGAGGAAAAGAAACUAACAAGGAUUCCCCUAGUAACGGCGAGUGAAGCGGGAAGAGCUCAAAUUUGAAAUCUUAAAGGGUUUCCCUUUACGAAUUGUAGUUUAAAGAAGUGUUUUCUGUUGGAGUUUCGGUAAAAGUUCUUUGGAAUAGGACAUCAUAGAGGGUGAGAAUCCCGUAUUUGAUCCAUUACUUUCCAACUGUGUGAUACACUUUCAAAGAGUCGGAUUGUUUGGGAAUGCAGUCCAAAAUGGGUGGUAAAUUUCAUCUAAAGCUAAAUAUUGGCGAGAGACCGAUAGCGAACAAGUACCGUGAGGGAAAGAUGAAAAGAACUUUGAAAAGAGAGUUAAACAGUACGUGAAAUUGUCAAAAGGGAAGCGUUUGACACCAGUGUUGUUUAGUUGAAAAUCAAUUCAAUAAUUUUUGAUUUUAAGUAGUAUUGACUUCAUCAGCUUGCUGCUUUCUUUUCAGGAAUUAUUGAAUGCACUUUUCAGUUAACAAGUCAACAUCAACUUCUUUUGUUGUAAAAGGGUAAGAGGAAGGUGGCUUACGCUUCGGCGUAAGUGUUUAUAGCCUUUUACCUCUGCAAUCGGAGAGAUUGAGGACAGCAGCGUAGACUCUUCGGGGUUAGAUACACUUGUGCUAAGCUAUAGCCUUGUAUAGACAACUUGUUGACUAUGCUCAGUCAUGUAGCUUACUCGCUUGUGCUAUUUUACCUACGCUUAGGAUGUUGAAGAUAUGCACGACACG
rnacentral:rRNA from 1 species